rnacentral:rRNA from 1 species
GACAGAGGGGGCAAGCGUUGCUCGGAAUCACUGGGCGUAAAGGGCGCGUAGGCGGGAUGGCAAGUCGGUCGUGAAAUCCUUCGGCUCAACCGAAGAACGUCGGCCGAUACUGCCGUUCUUGAGGGAUGCAGAGGAGAUUGGAAUUCCCGGUGUAGCGGUGAAACGUGUAGAGAUCGGGAGGAACACCGGUGGCGAAGGCAGCUCGCUGGGACGGUACUGACGCUGAGGCGCGAAAGCGUGGGGAGCAAACAGG